AUGUGUGCGAGACGAGCAAUGGACCGCAGCUGGGAGAGGGCCAGUCCUUCGAUGGAAGUAGCGCCCGCGCGACGAGGAGAUGGGGCGAAGGUCGAAACGGUCCGAUCGCAGACGAGCCGACGCCGGAGAAGCCGUCCGCCUCCGCAGGCAGAUCCGCCGAGCCACCGUGAAGCCGCCACGACACCGAGAGGCCACCAUGCGCCGGACCUCCCCACGCCGCCGCCCACGGCCGGAGCAACGACCACACCCGGCCGCUACCAUACUCGCAUCGCCCGGCGAGCUCCACGUGCCGGAGCCGCCGGGCACGCACCACCAGAUCGGCCCCACGCCAUCACCGGGCCGGGCUGA
rnacentral:rRNA from 1 species